CAGGUGGUAUUGCCACAUCUCUCGCAAAGAUGGACUGGGGAAAGACAUGAGCUGGGAACCGAGUCUGCACUGGAUCUCUGGCGAUCUCUUUCGGGACAAGUCAGCCGUUCCCCGGAGUUAUUUUGUUCUCCUCUUUGGCUGUGUUUUAAUCUGGCGUCCACCAAGGCUAAAAGAAUUAGGAUCUUUGGCGAUUUACAGACGAGCCAGGCCUUCCUCAGUCCUCCUGUUGUGCUCAACUCCAGCCCACCCUCUGCAGAUGGAGCGCCUUUCCUCUCCGGAUCAGGCAUGAUGGAAACCUUGAUCCAUCCUUGGAUUGAAAGGAGCCAGAUUGUGGAAAGCUGCAUUUCAAGACCAGCACCUCCAGCCAGGCUACUUGCAUGGAAGAUUGGAAGGACCUGUUUCUUCCUCCAAGAGCCACACAUGGGAGUUUUUCUAAGCCGCAGCUUGCUGACAUCCUGCUUUGGGGGCAUCGUCCCAGGCCAUUUAUUGACUUAAUAUUUAGUGAUACCAUUCUCUGGGAUGUCCCCACAUCAUUUGGGAGAUCUGGAAGCAGGAAUGUUACUGAUGCUGCCCUUGUUUUAAAGGACCUCCUUGCAACCUCAAUUCUGGCAGUGGGGGAGGGGCACUUGUUUCCCUCACCCGCCAUCCCCUUCCAUGAAUGACAGGAAUGACCUCAUCAAAUUCUUGAUCUAGGAACGUCAUAAUUUUUUCUUGGGCUCUCUUGACUUUAUUGCGGUCAACUACAAAUCUCUUGUCUUCUUCAGUGAUCAAGCCAGCAUUUAUGAAGCAAGCCUUUGUCUGUCAUCGCCUUGCCGCUUUUGCCUUUUUACUAGUUGUUUCUACUCGGGCACAUCUGGCAAACCAAUCUGGUGUGACCCAAAAGAACCAGUCUCAUCUCUCUGACCUUUAACAAAAGCAAGUUCCUUCAAUGGUAUCUUCAUCUCCUUAGGGCAGACCUAGCAACCCUACGGAAGGAUGGAAGACUGAGCUAACCUUGAGCAAGUGAGAAUUGAACUGCUGAAUUGCUGGCAGUCAGCCAUCAACAGAAUUAGUCUGCAAUACUGCAUUCUAACCACUGCGCCACCAUGGCUCUUGAUAAGUAUAAACAAUACAAAGGCUCUUUUUGAUUCCCCCAUAAUUUUUAAAGGUGGAAGGAGUACUGAGAGAAAAGUGUUUAAGAAAUACUUACCCAGUUGUUCCUAACUGCAAGACAAACAUGUUCCAGUGCAUCUUUUUUCACUUUCCAUCUCUUUUUAAGGCCACAGGUGAGACUGACUUGACAACCAUGGCUAUAGUGUUAUCAAAAUAGUACUUCCCUUUCACUCCUUACUGUAACACCAUUUCACAGUAAUCUGGGUGGCAGAGGGCAGGGAGGAUCUGUUAGAUUUGUCACCCAUGAUAUUGGAGAGAAAUCAGAUGACUGCCAGUGAGUGGUAACUAAAAGAAGAAAUAGAGGGAGGAUAGGAAUUGCCCAAAAAACAAUCAGGGGUGAAAUGCUCCCGGUUCGGACCGGAUCACCCGAUCUGAUAGCAAUGACAGUGGGUGGUUCAGAGAACCAGUAGCAAAAAUCCCUGCCCCCCCCCGCCCAGCUGAGUCACGCGAUCAUCAGAAGUUUUUUUUUUACUUUUAAAAACAUUUUUUCUACAACCUCUUUUACCGAUAAAAUUCUUUUAAAAGUUAAUAAAAAGCUUCUGAUGAUCACGCAGCUCAGCUGGGAUCAUCAGAGGCUUUUAAAAGCAUUUUUUUUCUGCAACCUCUUAAGGUUGUAGAAAAAAUGCUUUUAAAAGUAAAAAAAAAAAAGUUGGCCAUGCCCACCCAGUCACAUUACCCCACCACUACCAAGCCACGCCCACAGAACCAGUAGUAACAAAUUUUACAUUUCACCACUGAGAAAAACGUUAUGCUGGUCUAACUUUCUGUGAUGAAGUGAUAAAAGUCCUAUAGUCUAAGAAGAUAUGCAAUGAGAUGGGUGGCAAACAAAUUAAAGAAAUAAAUAAACAUGCUUGAUUUCUCUUUCUGCAAAAUGGGAACAUUUACACAAAAAUAUUUCUUUUAACAUUUCAUUAUCAAAAUCAUAAUAAUUGUUUAUGCAUCAGGAAAAACCUGUUGUGACUCCGGCUCCCGAGCCUGUCCUCACGGAGGAAGAUGACUCUGAAAGUGAUGGGGAGGAACUGACAAGGCCUCCCUCUCCAGGACCCUCGUUUCUUGCAAUGCCUCAGGUUCCAGCUGAAGGCCAGGAGGAAAGCAUGUCGGGGCACCCAUUAAUAGGGAGUGAUGAAGAUCAAUCUUGGAUUGAUACCAGGCAGCGUCGGAGGGAGAGGCGUGCGCAGCAAAGGAAGAGGUGGGGAAGGGCCAGAGAUUGCUGAGUCACUGAGCCAUGCCCCACAGGGGAUAAAAGUGGGUGGGGUUGCUCUGCAGGCUCUGUGACGGACAAAAACUGCAUAUCGUGAGCUUCGGAUGGGAUAUUGUUCGCAAUUAAGGCUUGAACUUUGUGAAUGACUUCUGACUACUCUUUGAACUCUUGGGUGCCCCAGCAACGGACUACAGAUACGCUGACUCCUGUUUCUAGAGGUGAUAAGAAACUUGGCAGCAUUCGGAAAGUAGCUGCCAGAAUUUGCAGCUGCCAAAGGGAUUCAGGUCAGCUUGUAGAAAUAGAUUACUGUAGAAGUCUUUUGCUCGUGUGUCUGCCUAUGUGAGGUGGGGGGACAGAACAAAAAUCUCUUGCUGCAUGGGACAUUCAGGAAGAUCAGCAAACUGACAUGAUCUGCCAAAAGUGUGGAGAUGUUUGAAAUGUGAUGCAUGAAAUUUGCACUUGUUGAAUUUUCAAAGAAUUAAGUGAUUAUACAGUUCGGGAGCUAUAACUUGGACAGAUAAUAUACAAGAGCACGACAAGGAUUAAAAUCAUGAUAGCUCAGGAAGAAACCAACAAUUAAUAUUUUAACCCAUUAUUUCAAAAUAUAUUGUUAUAUGUUACGCUAAAAUAAUUUGAAUUUAAAGAAAAACAAUUCUGGAUUGUAACUGCUUUUACUCUACCUACAAUAGCGUAUAUUCAUUGUUCUUAAUUUUUGUUGCUGGGAGAACAGGAGCAAAUUUUACUUAUGUUGAGCCAAAAUUUGUUCUGCAUUUUUUAAAACAUUUAAUUUAAAAACAGAAUAUUAAUAGAAAAUUCAAUCUAGAA